GAGUGCAUGGCCUCUCGCAACCGGCUUGCAGGAGCAGGUUGCAAACCACCACAAGCGGCUCGGGUCACAAACCCUGGUUGUGAGCGUUGUGGACAAGGUGCCAGAAGGCAUCAGGU
rfam:Deltaproteobacteria bacterium RIFOXYA12_FTLL_58_15 rifixya3_full_scaffold_3272, whole genome shotgun sequence.